rnacentral:rRNA from 1 species
UACAGAGGGUGCGAGCGUUAAUCGGAAUUACUGGGCGUAAAGCGCGCGUAGACGGUUUUUGUAAGAUCAGAUGUGAAAUCCCUGGGCUCAACCUGGGAACUGCAUUUGAGACUGCAUGGCUAGAGUAUCGAAGAGGGAAGUGGAAUUUCCGGUGUAGCGGUGAAAAUGCGUAGAUAUCGGAAGGAACACCAGUGGCGAAAGCGACUUCCUGGUCGAAAUACUGACGUUCAUGUGCGAAAGCGUGGGGAGCAAACAGG